rnacentral:lncRNA from 1 species
GCUGAAUUUCUUUCAGAUUAAACAUGUUCGAUUUCUAUGGAAUCGGUAUCAACUUGAAUUGCCUCAAAAUAAAGGCGAGUGUGUAAAGAAUCAGGACUAUCUACGUAGUUUGAAUUGUUGUAACAAGGUUUUACUAAAUCUUGAACCCUACCAGUUUCGAAUUCUUUAUCGAGGGCCAAAAUAGGGAAAACUCUACUGGUUAGGUACACGAAAGGCUCUUGUGCCUGAGAGGAAGGACUCCAACCUUUGGGUCCACAGCCUGGGCGAAGGACUCAAGGGUCAUCAUCGGUGGUUAGGUACUCGAAAGGCU